rnacentral:rRNA from 1 species
GAUGAACGCUGGCGGCGUGCUUAACACAUGCAAGUCGAGCGAGAAAAGUUCUUCGGAGCUUUUCUAGCGGCAGACGGGUGAGUAACACGUGGGCAACCUGCCUCAUAGAGGGGAAUAGCCUUCCGAAAGGAAGAUUAAUACCGCAUAACAUUGUUGAAAGGCAUCUUUUAACAAUCAAAGGAAUAAUCCGCUAUGAGAUGGGCCCGCGGCGCAUUAGCUAGUUGGUGAGGUGACGGCUCACCAAGGCGACGAUGCGUAGCCGACCUGAGAGGGUGAUCGGCCACAUUGGAACUGAGACACGGUCCAGACUCCUACGGGAGGCAGCAGUGGGGAAUAUUGCACAAUGGGGGAAACCUUGAUGCAGCAACGCCGCGUGAGUGAUGAAGGUCUUCGGAUUGUAAAGCUCUGUCUUUAGGGACGAUAAUGACGGUACCUAAGGAGGAAGCCACGGCUAACUACGUGCCAGCAGCCGCCGUAACAC